rnacentral:rRNA from 1 species
UACGUAGGUGGCAAGCGUUGUCCGGAAUUAAUGGGCGUAAAGCGCGCGCAGGCGGUCCUUUAAGUCUGAUGUGAAAGCCCACGGCUCAACCGUGGAGGGUCAUUGGAAACUGGGGGACUUGAGUGCAGGAGAGAAGAGUGGAAUUCCACGUGUAGCGGUGAAAUGCGUAGAGAUGUGGAGGAACACCAGUGGCGAAGGCGACUCUUUGGCCUGUAACUGACGCUGAGGCGCGAAAGCGUGGGGAGCAAACAGG